UUUCUCAUUUCUUCUACCCCAAUCUUGAAGACAAACAAACAUGAGAAACAACCACCACCAGCAACCAUCUUCUCCAGGAGAAACAAACAACCAGCACCAGCAACCACCUCCUCCGGCGAAACUAACCGGACUUCUUCUCCGGCACUCUCUCUCCUCAAUAAACAACAACCACCAGCAACCACCUUCUCCAGCGAAACUCACCGGACUUCUUCUCCGGUGCUCUCUCUCCUCUCGGUCUAAUUGCUCUUGAAACAUACCAAUAAAGAUAUUCAAUCGACAAGCUGGAUGGAUGUAGGCGACGUUAAUGCGGGGACAUGUGUUAAAAAAAGAUAUUCAAUAGGUCACAUUUUUUUGGGAAGGAACUCUUCGUUCAUUUAUAACAUGUGUUAGUGGUUCAUGCUGUAACAGAACACCAUGAUGUAACCUGACAUCUGUUCAUGUAUAACUUGUUUAAGCCACUGUUAGAACGAUAUAUAACGUGUGUUAACCUUGGUUACUAGUAAUAUAUAAUGUGAGACUCUUAUUAUUUUA